GCUAGCGGGAGGCUUAAUACAUGCAAGUCGAGGGGUAACGAUGGACUUCGGUCCAGGCGACGACCGGCGCACGGGUGAGUAACGCGUACACAACCUACCUUCAAGAGGGGGAUAGCCUCGGGAAACUGAGAUUAAUACCCCAUGUGAUUAACUUAUAAUAUGAUUGGUUAAUUAAAGAUCCGUCGCUUGAAGAUGGGUGUGCGUCCCAUUAUGUAGUUGGUGAGGUAACGGCUCACCAAGCCGACGAUGGGUAGGGGGCGUGAGAGCGUGGCCCCCCACACGGGUACUGAGACACGGACCCGACUCCUACGGGAGGCAGCAGUAAGGAAUAUUGGACAAUGGAGGAAACUCUGAUCCAGCUAUCCCGCGUGCAGGAUGACAGCCCUACGGGUUGUAAACUGCUUUUAGUAGGGACGAAACCCCGGUAUUUAUACCGGGCUGACGGUACCUACAGAAUAAGCACCGGCUAACUCCGUGCCAGCAGCCGCGGUAAUACGGAGGGUGCAAGCGUUAUCCGGAAUCACUGGGUUUAAAGGGUGCGUA
rnacentral:rRNA from 1 species